GUAAUGCCGGAUGUUCCACAUGAUCGCAUGUGAUUGUGGGAAAGAUUCUAUCGGCGUGGGAUGGGGUCGCGUCCUAUCAGCUUGUUGGUGAGGUAACGGCUCACCAAGGCUUCGACGGGUAGCCGGCCUGAGAGGGCGACCGGCCACAUUGGGACUGAGAUACGGCCCAGACUCCUACGGGAGGCAGCAGUGGGGAAUAUUGCACAAUGGGCGCAAGCCUGAUGCAGCGACGCCGCGUGAGGGAUGGAGGCCUUCGGGUUGUAAACCUCUUUUGUUUGGGAGCAAGCCUUCGGGUGAGUGUACCUUUCGAAUAAGCGCCGGCUAACUACGUGCCAGCAGCCGCGGUAAUACGUAGGGCGCAAGCGUUAUCCGGAUUUAUUGGGCGUAAAGGGCUCGUAGGCGGCUCGUCGCGUCCGGUGUGAAAGUCCAUCGCUUAACGGUGGAUCUGCGCCGGGUACGGGCGGGCUGGAGUGCGGUAGGGGAGACUGGAAUUCCCGGUGUAACGGUGGAAUGUGUAGAUA
rnacentral:rRNA from 1 species